UACGUAGGGUCCGAGCGUUGUCCGGAAUUACUGGGCGUAAAGAGCUCGUAGGUGGUUUGUCGCGUUGUUCGUGAAAACUCACAGCUUAACUGUGGGCGUGCGGGCGAUACGGGCAGACUAGAGUACUGCAGGGGAGACUGGAAUUCCUGGUGUAGCGGUGGAAUGCGCAGAUAUCAGGAGGAACACCGGUGGCGAAGGCGGGUCUCUGGGCCGAAACUGACGCUGAGGAGCGAAAGCGUGGGGAGCAAACAGG
rnacentral:rRNA from 1 species